CCCGCUANCUACGUCCCAGCAGCCGCGUUAAUACGUAGGGUGCAAGCGUAUUCCGAAUAUUNGGCGUAAAGGGCUCGUAGGCGNUUCGUCGCGUCCGUGUGNAAAGUCCAUCGCUNAACGGUGGAUCCGCGCCGGGUACGGGCCGGCUUGAGUGCGUAGGGANNGACUGGAAUUCCCGGGUGUAACGGUGGAAUGUGUAGAUAUCGGGAAGACANNCCAUGNNCGAAGGCAGGUCUCUGGGCCGUUACUGACGCUGAGGAGCGAAAGCGUGGGGAGCGAACAGGAUUAGAUACCCUGGUAGUCCACGCCGUAAACGGUGGAUGCUGGAUGUGGGGCCCGUUCCACGGGUUCCGUGUCGGAGCUAACGCGUUAAGCAUCCCGCCUGGGGAGUACGGCCGCAAGGCUAAAACUCAAAGAAAUUGACGGGGGCCCGCACAAGCGGCGGAGCAUGCGGAUUAAUUCGAUGCAACGCGAAGAACCUUACCUGGGUUUGACAUGUUCCCGACGGUCGUAGAGAUACGGCUUCCCUUCGGGGCGGGUUCACAGGUGGUGCAUGGUCGUCGUCAGCUCGUGUCGUGAGAUGUUGGGUUAAGUCCCGCAACGAGCGCAACCCUCGCCCCGUGUUGCCAGCGGAUUAUGCCGGGAACUCACGGGGGACCGCCGGGGUUAACUCGGAGGAAGGUGGGGAUGACGUCAGAUCAUCAUGCCCCUUACGUCCAGGGCUUCACGCAUGCUACAAUGGCCGGUACAACGGGAUGCGACGCGGCGACGCGGAGCGGAUCCCUGAAAACCGGUCUCAGUUCGGAUCGCAGUCUGCAACUCGACUGCGUGAAGGCGGAGUCGCUAGUAAUCGCGAAUCAGCAACGUCGCGGUGAAUGCGUUCCCGGGCCUUGUACACACCGCCCGUCAAGUCAUGAAAGUGGGCAGCACCCGAAGCCGGUGGCCUAACCCCUUGU
rnacentral:rRNA from 1 species